UCCUCUGCUAUGUCCUGGUCUAGUGCUGAACCCCUCCUCUGCUAUGUCUGUCCUGGUCUAGUGUUGAACCCCUCCUCUGUUAUGUCUGUCCUGGUCUAGUGCUGAACCCCUCCUCUGCUAUGUCCUGGUCUAGUGCUGAACCCCUCCUCUGUUAUGUCUGUCCUGGUCUAGUGCUGAACCCCUCCUCUGCUAUGUCCUGGUCUAGUGCUGAACCCCUCCUCUGCUAUGUCCUGGUCUAGUGCUGAACCCCUCCUCUGCUCUGUCCUGGUCCUCUGUUAUGUCUGUCCUGGUCUAGUGCUGAACCCCUCCUCUGCUAUGUCUGUCCUGGUCUAGAGCUGAACCCCUCCUCUGUUAUGUCCUGGUCUAGUGCUGAACCCCUCCUCUGUUAUGUCUGUCCUGGUCUAGAGAUGAACCCCUCCUGUUAUGUCCUGGUCUAGUGCUGAACCACUCCUCUGUUAUGUCUGUCCUGGUCUAGUGCUGAACCCCUCCUCUGCUCUGUCCUGGUCUAGUGCUGAACCCCUCCUCUGUUAUGUCUGUCCUGGUCUAGAGCUGAACCCCUCCUCUGUUAUGUCUGUCCUGGUCUAGUGCUGAACCCCUCCUCUGUUCUGUUAUGUCUGUCCUGGUCUAGUGCUGAACCCCUCCUCUGCUCUGUCCUGGUCUAGUGCUGAACCCCUCCUCUGCUAUGUCUGUCCUGGUCUAGAGCUGAACCCCUCCUCUGUUAUGUCCUGGUCUAGUGCUGAACCCCUCCUCUGUUAUGUCUGUCCUGGUCUAGAGAUGAACCCCUCCUGUUAUGUCCUGGUCUAGUGCUGAACCCCUCCUCUGUUAUGUCUGUCCUGGUCUAGUGCUGAACCCCUCCUCUGCUAUGUCCUGGUCUAGUGCUGAACCCCUCCUCUGUUAUGUCCUGGUCUAGUGCUGAACCCCUCCUCUGUUAUGUCUGUCCUGGUCUAGUGCUGAACCCCUCCUCUGCUCUGUCCUGGUCUAGUGCUGAACCCCUCCUCUGUUAUGUCUGUCCUGGUCUAGAGCUGAACCCCUCCUCUGUUAUGUCUGUCCUGGUCCAGUGCUGAACCCCUCCUGUUAUGUCCUGGUCCAGUGCUGAACCCCUCCUGUUAUGUCUGUCCUGGUCCUCUGUUAUGUCUGUCCUGGUCUAGUGCUGAACCCCUCCUGUUAUGUCUGUCCUGGUCUAGAGCUGAACCCCUCCUCUGUUAUGUCUGUCCUGGUCUAGAGCUGAACCCCUCCUCUGCUCUGUCCUGGUCUAGUGCUGAACCCCUCCUCUGCUAUGUCUGUCCUGGUCUAGUGCUGAACCCCUCCUCUGCUAUGUCUGUCCUGGUCUAGAGCUGAACCCCUCCUCUGCUAUGUCUGUCCUGGCCCAAACCUGAGAUGAGCUUGAGUCUAUCCCUGGGGAGGGUCUUACUGCAGAACACAGUACAAGCAGACCAGUUAGACAUCUCCUCCUUCACUACAGUGGCUCCUCUCUGCUGCUGGUAUCUGAGACUGAACUUGAAGACGAUGAUUCCCCAGUGAGGCUGUGUUCACAGCCAGGAGCGUUCCUAAUUGUUGCUAAAUGUUCUGCUGUGUUGCACACACUCUCUCUCACCCCUCGAACCUGCUCCCCUUCCCGAACAUUGUGUCCACACUACUUAAGAACUGUCUCUCUGCCUUCAAGCAACAAAAAAAAACAAUGUUUUGGUUUUCAUUUUGCUAACCAAGGUGAGGUUGAAACAUCCAGCUAACCUGAUGCUCGCUGGUUUCAGCUCAGACCAGGGCCGUAUUCAUUAGGCACCGAACUGAAGAAAACGUGACGGGGACUAGCUGAGCCAUCUCGGAAAAACAAACUUGUUUUCCUCUUCCACUGCGAAACAUUUUGCUUCGGUGUUCCCGGAUGAACAUGACCCCAGCUCUAUGGGAUGUGAAAUGCUAAAACACUGAAAACAGAAGAAUUGGCUAAUGUUUCACUGACCAAAGCAAACGUUUAACCUGAUCCCAGAUCUGUUCGUGCUCAUGCCAACUUCAUUGCUAUUAGUCAAGCCAAUUAUUUUUGGCAUGACUAUGAGUGACAAGGAGUUGUCAUGGUGACACAAACAGACUGGCACUCAGGCUAAGCUAGGUCCUAUUUAUAGAGUUCUCGGCUUUGUAUCUGUCCCAUUAUGGCAUCAGUGACAGCAUGAGCAGCACCAUUGAGGCUAUCACCAUUUUAAAGUAGUACAUUUUCUUUUUUUUUAUGUUUGAAAAAGUGUAUCGCUAAUAUUAGUGAUUUACCUCCACCUGCAUUGCCCGGGGUCUUGAACCAAAUCUUGUCAUUCAUUUGUUGUGCCAUUUACAAAACUAAGCAAACCAAUUUGAAGAAGACGAUGCUCUCUGAUCAUUGACCGAUCGCUCCCAUCUCAUAGGAAUCGCUGUCCAGUUGACUACUUUAAAAUGGUGGAAGCGCUCCGUGGCAAAGUCCAAGCAAAUAGUGUUAUUUCCCAAGUAAUGAUCUCUCUCCAUCUCUAUGGUCCUGUCCCAGUUCACGUCGAUCAGUGAACAACGUGAGUGUGGGUCGAACAAAGCAGGAAAUCAGCCUUUGUAUUAACACAUGGAUUUACAGGGAAAUCCUUCAAAUUAUGCAAAUUAGCCGGUAAAAUCUAAUUUAGUUUUUGUGCCGACGCGUUAAAACCAGAUGAGCGUUUUGUGAAAAAAAGGAAAAGGGAAAACGCAUUGCAAUGCAGUCUGUCUGUUUAAAGGCUUUAGUUGUUUUGUUCUCACCCUGCUGCAAGGUUAGGGUUAGGGUUCUCACCCUGCUCGCUGCUGGUUUAUAGCAAACUGAUUUAUCGGUCAAAAAUACUAUUUUGACUUUUUAAAAUGUGUGAAAUGUCAAACUUUUUGAUGGAUUUUGCAAUAGACCAUUUGAUGAGCACAGACUAAGUGAAACUCCUCUUUUACACACACACACACACACACUUCCUUCUCUGUUCUUCUUCUCUAUGAUAUCCAGUUUGUUUUCUCUGUUGGUGAAGGGUGUCUGUCUGUUUCUCAGGUGGCACCCUAUUCCCUAUAUAAUACACUACAUUUGACCAGGACCUCUGGCCGUUUGGGAUCACACCCGUAACUGAUCACACCGUAACUGAUCACACCCGUCCUGAUCACACCGUAACUGAUCACACCGUAACUGAUCACACCGUAACUGAUCACACCGUAACUGAUCACACCGUAACUGAUCACACCGUAACUGAUCACACCGUAACUGAUCACACCGUAACUGAUCACACCGUAACUGAUCACACCGGUAACUGAUCACACCCGUAACUGAUCACACCCGUAACUGAUCACACCCGUAACUGAUCACACCGUAACUGAUCACACCGUAACUGAUCACACCGUAACUGAUCACACCGUAACUGAUCACACCCGUCCUGAUCACACCGUAACUGAUCACACCGUAACUGAUCACACCCGUAACUGAUCACACCGUAACUGAUCACACCGUAACUGAUCACACCCGUAACUGAUCACACCCGUAACUGAUCACACCCGUAACUGAUCACACCGUAACUGAUCACACCGUGACUGAUCACACCGUAACUGGAAACAGCCAGAUAUGACUCUACAUGUUGUAGAUGAAGGUGUUGCUGUCUGGCUCUCUAUUCCCUCCGUACUCCACUACUGGUUUGACUCCCUAUUGGCACUUAAUGUUCUGUUACUUGAUAAAGGAAUGAAUCACUGUCCGUUACUCGAUUUGAAGAUCUAAAUGAUGUUUGUUUUUUGUUAUCGUUGAAAGAGGGAAGUGUAGAAUACCGGACUGAGCAGUCUUCUAGGUUUUGUUAAAACGCCAAAGGUGUUGUUCCUCUGAUAUUUGGGGAAAACAAAAAUAAAAAGGAAUCAUUCCUGUGUAAACAAAGCCAGGAGCGUAUUUGUGGGCAGGGCUGACUUCCAGUGGCUGGUUCCAUGCACAGUGAUUGGCCAGGAUAACUAGGUCAGGUGUACCGAUUGGACACA